rnacentral:rRNA from 1 species
UUCUGAAUUUGACAAAUCCAAAAAAACUUUCAACAAUGGAUCUCUUGGCUCGAGCAUCGAUGAAGAACGCAGCGAAAUGCGAUAAUUAAUGUGAAUUGCAAAAUCCAGUGAAUCAUCGAGUCUUUGAACGCACAUUGCACCUCGUGGUAUUCCGCGAGGUAUGCCUGUUUGAGCGUCAUU